rnacentral:lncRNA from 1 species
AUGAACACCCAAGUUCAUUAACACCUACAGGUGGCGAACCUGCUAAUGUUUCCACAAGACUGUCUAGAAUAGCCAGUGGUCGUCAUCUAAACUCCACUAGAUGACUCAAUCAAACAACAACGAGGCCUCUCAUCUGUUUAUUACACACCAACUGUCUACCCAUGUUCUACCCAACAUAUUAGUAGAUAAAAAUAUACAUUUGUAUACAUAGUUUAAAGAAAACCUGUAUAGCAUGCUUUAAUCAACACAUAUAUCACAUAACAGAUGAGGCACACACACACAUAACACAUAUCUCAUAAAGAAAUAAGCAGAUCUAUAAGAUAGAAGAGAGUGAAUACUCAUUCACACAUAACACAACCAAAUAUAUACACAUAGCACGUAUUUUUAUAUAAAAUACUUCGUAUUAUUGUAUUAGAAGAAAUAACUACACACUCACUUGAUCAGAAGAUGAUCGGACAGCACUACGGCUUAUAGAAGUAGUAAUCCACAGCAGAUCUGGAAGAUCUUCUCAAAAAUCGAACUUCUCGCGGGCAGAGCUUCGACUCGGGAACCGCACUUUUCGGGAUCUUCGGGAUCUCGGGACUUGCCUCGGGGCUAGAGUAUGAUACCGGGGCUUCGGGGUAGCUUCGGGGGUUUUUGCACAGAGCUUCGACACGAAAACGAGAGGGAAUUGGCAAAAAUACCCGGAACCCUCGCAUCCUAUUUAUAGGAGGCUGGAGCCUCGGAGUACGCGGGGCGUACUGCGUUACGCGGGGCGUACUGCCCAAAACGUCAUUGCUUACGUAUCCGAAGUGCUCGAGUGCGAGUGUCGACAUCCCUCGGAGUACGCGGGGCGUACUCGAGUACGCGGGGCGUACCUCGGAUCAGAUCGGUGACUCCUUCGGAUAAUGCUUCCGAAUUUUGAUUUAAAUAUAAAUACAAAAUGAUUAAUAAACUUCGGAAAUUCAUAACUUCUUCAUACGAACUCCGUUUUCGACGUUCUUUAUAUCCACGCGAAGGUGAGACCACGCUCUACGACUUUCGUUUAGACUCCGUCGGCUAAUUUUGACUUUAUUUUUAUUAAUUAUUUUUAAUAGGCCGGGACAGAAACUUUCGUUAUAAAUUCAUAACUUCUUCGUUUGACGUCCGUUCUCGCCUAACUUUUUAUCGUUUCAAUACCAACAAUGAGAUCUUCGAUUCUCAUUUAGAUUGCUUCGGCUAACAACCGCUCGAUCUCAAAUCGAGUAAAACAGGCUGUAUAUCGCUAAGCCGGAACUUCGAUAAAUCAUAACUUCCUCAUACGAAGUCAGAUUUGGGCGUUCUAUAUAUAUUCGGAAACCUCGUUUCAACUACUACAACAUUAACCAAAUAUAUUAAGUUUAUUUUACACUUAAAUUUUGACGCUUAUUUUUAUUCUUAAUUAAUCAAACCACAUAAUUAAGCAAUUAAGCACAAAACACAUAAUACUCAAAUAAUACAAUCUUAUUAUUUCAAAACGGGUUACAGAGGUUAACCUAGACUAUUACAUUGCUACAAAUGGCAAGCCCGAAACACAGGCGUUACAAUUCUCUCCACCUUAGAAUGAUUCCGUCCCCGGAAUCACACAUCAACAAACAAAUGCGGAUAGCGACUCAACAUGUCACUCUCCGUCUCCCAGGUGAGAUUCGGCCCAUUCGUGUGUUUCCAUCGGACAAGCACUAACCCAACCAUUUUGCGUCGCAACUUCUUAGUCUUUCGGUCAACAAUUGCCUCUGGUUCUUCAAUCAACCUUUUGUUCUCAUCAAUUCUCAAUUCAGAAAUUGGAAUUAUAUCGGGAACUUCUCCCGUGAACUUCCUCAAAUAACACACAUGAAAGGUGUUGUGAAUUCCAUUCAGUUCUUCGGGUAAUUCGAGCUUGUAAGCUUGAUUCCCAAUCCUCUGAAGGACUCUAAACGGUCCAAUAAACCUUGGACUCAACUUUCCCCUUUUACCAAAUCUUAUAAGUCCCUUCCACGGCGAGACUUUAAGCAAAACCGAAUCUCCAACCUCAAAAGUCAUCGGUCUUCGCUUCUUGUCAGCAUAGCUCUUUUGACGAUCUUGAGCUGCUAACAUUCUUUCCCUAAUUAUUUUCAACUUUUCAGCAGUUUGAUGAACCAUCUCCGGUCCCAUAAACUGCUUUUCCCCAGCCUCAAGCCAACAAGACGGCGUACGACACUUCUGUCCAUACAAAGCUUGAUAAGGUGCCAUCUUAAUGCUCGAGUGAAAACUAUUAUUAUAGGAAAAUUCUACCAACGGUAAAUGUUCAUCCCAAUUACCUAGGAAUUCCAAGGUACAUGCUCUCAGCAUAUCUUCAAGUGUUUGUAUUGUUCUUUCACUCUGACCAUCAGUCUGCGGAUGGUAAGCUGUGCUUAAACAUAACUUGGUACCCAUUUCCUCUUGUAGACUUUUCCAAAACCUUGAGGUGAAACGGCUAUCACGAUCCGAUACAAUCGUUAACGGAACACCGUGAAGCCUCACAAUUUCCUUCACGUAAGAAUUCGCAAGCUUUUCCAUAGACCAUUUCUCCCUGGCCGCUAUGAAAUGCGCACUCUUAGUGAAUCGAUCAACGACCACCCAAAUCAUGUCGUGACCAUUCUUUGUUCUGGGCAGUUUAGUGACAAAAUCCAUAGCAAUGUCUUCCCACUUACCCAUAGGCACAGGCAAAGGUUCUAAACUCCCGUACGGUUUCUGAUGUUGUGUCUUGACUCUCGCACAAGUCACACACUCGGCCACAUACUUUGCAACAUCAAGCUUCAUCGUCGGCCACCAGUAGUAGGGUUUCAGGUCCCUAUACAUUUUAGUGCUACCCGGAUGAAUCGAGUACAUGGUCUUGUGAGCUUCUUCCAUCAGAAGAUCCCUAAUUCCUCCUGACUUAGGUACCCAAAUACGAUCUUGGAAUACCUUCAGUCCAUGACCGUUAGUACCAAACACCAACGUUUUACCCAAACGUUCCUCCUUUCGGUCAUUUUUCUCAGAAGCUUCCUCUUGAGCUUUCUUUAUACUUUCCACAAUGGUCGAGACAACUUCAAUUCUCAACGCUCUUGGCCUCUUCCUUUCAAGAUUGACCUUCCGACUGAGAGCAUCAGCAACAACAUUAGCUUUACCGGGGUGGUAAAGUAUCUCGCAGUCGUAGUCUUUAAGUAAUUCUAGCCAGCGUCGUUGCCUCAUAUUCAAUUCUUUCUGAUUAAAGAGGUAUUGGAGACUCUUAUGAUCAGUGAAAAGUUUGCACUUCGUGCCAUAGAGGUAAUGCCUCCAUAUUUUCAGAGCGAAAACUACCGCUGCCAACUCCAAAUCAUGAGUCGGGUAAUUCUUUUCAUGCUCUUUCAGCUGUCGAGACGCAUAUGCUAUCACCUUUUCUCUUUGGGUCAAAACACAACCCAAUCCAACACCAGACGCAUCGCUAUAAACAGCGAAGUCUUCAACUCCAUCGGGUAGAGAAAGUAUCGGUGCCUCGCAUAGCUUCUUCUUUAACUUCUCGAAUGCUUCUUUAUGCUUCUCACUCCAAGCAUAAGUAGCUCCUUUGUGGGUCAAAGCUGUUAAUGGAGUAGCAAUCGAAGAAAAGCCUUGGAUAAACCUUCGGUAAUAUCCGGCUAAUCCUAAAAAGCUUCGAAUCUCCGUGGGACUUUUCGGUUGUUCCCACUUCGUCACAGCUUCGAUCUUCGCUGGAUCAACCAUUAUCCCUUCUUGGUUGACCACGUGACCCAAGAAUUGGACUUCACGAAUCCAAAAAUCACAUUUGGAGAACUUCGCAUAAAGCUUCUCCUUCUUCAAAACUUCUAACACUUCUCGCAAGUGUCUGCCAUGCUCCUCCUGGCUUUUCGAGUAGAUCAGAAUGUCGUCUAUGAACACUAUCACGGAUUUAUCAAGGAAAGGAUUACAAACCCUAUUCAUCAAAUCCAUGAACGCUGCUGGAGCAUUGGUUAGUCCAAACGACAUAACCAAGAACUCGUAGUGUCCAUAUCUAGUUCUGAAUGCAGUCUUCUCGAUAUCUUGCUCUCUUACUUUCAGCUGAUGAUAUCCUGACCUAAGAUCGAUCUUCGAGAAAUAGCUCGAACCUUGCAAUUGAUCAAACAGGUCAUCAAUCCUCGGCAACGGAUAUCUAUUCUUUAUUGUUGCCUUGUUCAGCUCUCUGUAAUCGAUGCACAUUCUCAUACUUCCAUCUUUCUUCUUUACAAAUAACACCGGAGCUCCCCAGGGCGAUGAACUAGGUCUAAUGAAACCUUUGUCCAAUAACUCCUGAAGUUGCAUCAUUAGCUCCUUCAUCUCCGUCGGUGCUAAUCGAUAAGGUGCUUUUGCUAUUGGCGUGGUUCCUGGUAACAAGUCUAUUCUGAACUCCACUUGUCUAUCAGGUGGUAAUCCAGGAAGAUCCUCGGGAAAUACUUCCGGAUAAUCACACACCACUGGAAUGCUCUGCAUCACCUUCUUUUCUUUCUUAGCAUCAAUCACGAAUGCUAAAUAUGAUGUACAUCCCUUGGUCAAACACUUUCUGGCUUUCAUUAGAGAAAUGAUUCCAGAAUUCACUCUGCGUUUGUCCCCAUACACCAUAAACGAAUCUUUUCCAGGCGGGUUUACUUUAACUAUCUUCUUCUUGCACAAAAUUUCGGCAUCAUUGGCGCUAAGCCAAUCCAUUCCCAAGACGAUGUCGAAACCAUUUAGUUCGAUAGGCAAUAAUUCCUCGAGAAACUUAUUCCCAUUAAGGUCGAUCAAGACGUUUUUCAUACGAUGGCUAACAGGUACAAACUUGCCACUAGCUACUUCGACUAAUAAAGCAUUAUUUAGUCUAUCAACAGGCAAAGCUAGCUUUCUACCAAACUCAUGCGAAAUAAAGGAGUAGUUGGCUCCAGAAUCAAACAAUAUAUGAGCAGGUAAUUCGUUUACGAGAAAGGUACCUGAAGCGACAUCAGCUUCAUCUUUCGCAGCCUCAAGUGUCAUCUGGAAGGCUCUCGCCUUCGGCUUUGGUGGAAUGUUGGGCCUAGCUGCCUCCUUCUUCUUCGGACAGUCUUUCAAAAUAUGCCCCUCUUCAUUACAACCAAAACACAUCCUUUUGUUGUUCGGACAUUCAUUGGCAAAAUGUCCAACCUUUCCACACUUGUAGCAGGUCACAUCCUCGCUACAUUUCCCAAAGUGCUUUUUCUUACACUUAUCACACCACUUUGCUUCGCCUCCUUUUCCUCCAAACUUUUUCGAAUCAGAUUUCGAAAAUUUGCUCUUCUUACUGGAACCAGAUGUUCCUUCAAACUUCCUUUUCUCACCAACCUCAACCUUGACGGUGGUUCUCCCCUUGAUCAUGUUCUCCACAGACUUGGCAGCCCAGAUAGCUGCCUCUAGAGUAAGUGCCUGACGUACCGGCACCUCGUACUCCCAUGGAAGUCCCUUCGCAUACCGAUCCACCUUUGUCAGCUCGUCUGGAACGAUACGCAAGGCAAACUCCAUCUUAUCGGUGAAGUUAUUGGUGUAUUCAUCAACUGACAUGCUACCCUUCGUCAAUGUCAAAAACUUAUUCUCCAACUCCAACAGAUUUUGAGCCGAGCAGAACUUGCGCUUGAACUGCACCAAGAACUCUGCCCAUGACAAUUGCAGUGGCUCAUUAGGGCUUAAGGUCUUCCCUAGAGUGUUCCACCAACGAACGGCUCCACCUCGGAAUUGUCGCACGGCAUAGAUAGUCUGCAACUUACCUCUGCAGCCACAUGUCAUAAAGGCUAACUCCAUUUCGGAGAUCCAAUCCAUAACCCCAAUCGGAUCCUCCUUUCCAUUGAAGGUCGAUGGUUUGCAAGUCAAAAAGUCCUUGUACUUGCAUCCCAUUCCAUCAUUCCUUCCUUCAUGGUUAUCUUGCCUAACUAUCGGUGGGUUGGCUGGACCAACAGACCCACUGAAGUUUCCACCUUCCGAGUGCCCUUCAUUUAAUUCAGGCUCUUCCACACGAAUCGACAGUUCUUCACGAUUUUGUUGAAGCAACCGUCUAGUUUCAUCCAUCUGACGAUCCAACAUCGUCUGAAUCAUCAAUUGCACACCAGCCAUGGUUAUUGGCUCAGGUGCUGCUGCUACGACAGGUAUUGGCUCAAUCACUGGUGGUUGAUUCCUGUUUUCGUCAGCAUUUCCAACUCCACUUCUUGUUCUCACCAUUUUGAUCUACACCCCGAAUAAGGUGAAAUUAGAUCCUCAAUCAUGAUAGAUAUUCAAAUCAUCCUUAUCACUCCGAAACGUUUACAUGCUAGUUCUAAUAUCGUAGACGUACGCUUAGAAUCCUACACACAUAAGGUUUCUAGAUCCGGUCGGCAACAGACCAUAGAUCCGAACAAAUAAUAUCAUAUAUGGCAACAUAUAACAUUUAGCACAUAAAGCAUUUUAGGCAACUUUCCUAAAAUAAACUAGUGCUCGUGUCUAAAACACAACAGACACACAUCUCAAAACUUCACUUAGCAUUCUAAGUUUAAGUCUAGAAAUCCUACAAAUUCCUAGUUCGCUUAAACUAAUGCUCUGAUACCAACUGUGACAUCCCCAAAAUCUCGGCCAGAAAAGACCGAUUUUCAUUUAUGCUUUUAAAUAUUUUCAGAGUAAAUCCUUUUGAUUUGAAAGAGUUGCGGAAUUUGUUCCCAAAAACAAAACAUGAUAAAACAUUGUUUACCGAAGCAUUUCAUAAAAGAAAUGUAUUUUCAUUAUAAUCAAAACUCGGGGUGUCAUGUUCCGAUACAGACCAAUAAGCAUAAACGAAUACAUUACAAGUCAUAUAACAAAUAUAAACAUAUGCAGACUUGUAAACAAAACAACUUGAUGGUUCAUCCAUCUCAUGCCCUUCCGCCACUACCUGUAAUACAAUUUAAAACUGAGUGGGUCAGGCUUGGGAGCCUGGUGAGCAUAUAGGGUUUUCAACCCACAAUAAAUAUCAUAUUUAAUUUUCACCAACCAACAAUAACCCAAUUACCCAUUCCCGUUAUUCUCACUUUAAUGUCCCUAAAACAACUAACAUAAGGGACCUAGUCUAAGAAUAUUUCAUCGGGGCGACAACACAUGCUUCGGGGGUACCUCAGCAAUAUAAGUCAAAUAAGGCAACCAUGAGGGGGAUGGAGUACAGCGAAUGAACACCCAAGUUCAUUAACACCUACAGGUGGCGAACCUGCUAAUGUUUCCACAAGACUGUCUAGAAUAGCCAGUGGUCGUCAUCUAAACUCCGCUAGAUGACUCAAUCAAACAACAACGAGGCCUCUCAUCUGUUUAUUACACACCAACUGUCUACCCAUGUUCUACCCAACAUAUUAGUAGAUAAAAAUAUACAUUUGUAUACAUAGUUUAAAGAAAACCUGUAUAGCAUGCUUUAAUCAACACAUAUAUCACAUAACAGAUGAGGCACACACACACAUAACACAUAUCUCAUAAAGAAAUAAGCAGAUCUAUAAGAUAGAAGAGAGUGAAUACUCAUUCACACAUAACACAACCAAAUAUAUACACAUAGCACGUAUUUUUAUAUAAAAUACUUCGUAUUAUUGUAUUAGAAGAAAUAACUACACACUCACUUGAUCAGAAGAUGAUCGGACAGCACUACGGCUUAUAGAAGUAGUAAUCCACAGCAGAUCUGGAAGAUCUUCUCGAAAAUCGAACUUCUCGCGGGCAGAGCUUCGACUCGGGAACCGCACUUUUCGGGAUCUUCGGGAUCUCGGGACUUGCCUCGGGGCUAGAGUAUGAUACCGGG